rnacentral:rRNA from 1 species
GGGUUGUGAGGUUAAGCGACUAAGCGUACACGGUGGAUGCCCUGGCAGUCAGAGGCGAUGAAGGACGUGCUAAUCUGCGAUAAGCGUCGGUAAGGUGAUAUGAACCGUUAUAACCGGCGAUUUCCGAAUGGGGAAACCCAGUGUGAUUCGUCACACUAUCAUUAACUGAAUCCAUAGGUUAAUGAGGCGAACCGGGGGAACUGAAACAUCUAAGUACCCCGAGGAAAAGAAAUCAACCGAGAUUCCCCCAGUAGCGGCGAGCGAACGGGGAGCAGCCCAGAGCCUGAAUCAGUGUGUGUGUUAGUGGAAGCGUCUGGAAAGGCGUGCGAUACAGGGUGACAGCCCCGUACACAAAAAUGCACAURCUGUGAGCUCGAUGAGUAGGGCGGGACACGUGGUAUCCUGUCUGAAUAUGGGGGGACCAUCCUCCAAGGCUAAAUACUCCUGACUGACCGAUAGUGAACCAGUACCGUGAGGGAAAGGCGAAAAGAACCCCGGCGAGGGGAGUGAAAAAGAACCUGAAACCGUGUACGUACAAGCAGUGGGAGCACAGAGCAAUCUGUGUGACUGCGUACCUUUUGUAUAAUGGGUCAGCGACUUAUAUUCUGUAGCAAGGUUAACCGAAUAGGGGAGCCGAAGGGAAACCGAGUCUUAACUGGGCGUUAAGUUGCAGGGUAUAGACCCGAAACCCGGUGAUCUAGCCAUGGGCAGGUUGAAGGUUGGGUAACACUAACUGGAGGACCGAACCGACUAAUGUUGAAAAAUUAGCGGAUGACUUGUGGCUGGGGGUGAAAGGCCAAUCAAACCGGGAGAUAGCUGGUUCUCCCCGAAAGCUAUUUAGGUAGCGCCUCGUGAAUUCAUCUCCGGGGGUAGAGCACUGUUUCGGCAAGGGGGUCAUCCCGACUUACCAACCCGAUGCAAACUGCGAAUACCGGAGAAUGUUAUCACGGGAGACACACGGCGGGUGCUAACGUCCGUCGUGAAGAGGGAAACAACCCAGACCGCCAGCUAAGGUCCCAAAGUCAUGGUUAAGUGGGAAACGAUGUGGGAAGGCCCAGACAGCCAGGAUGUUGGCUUAGAAGCAGCCAUCAUUUAAAGAAAGCGUAAUAGCUCACUGGUCGAGUCGGCCUGCGCGGAAGAUGUAACGGGGCUAAACCAUGCACCGAAGCUGCGGCAGCGACGCUGAUGCGUUGUUGGGUAGGGGAGCGUUCUGUAAGCCUGUGAAGGUGUACUGUGAGGUAUGCUGGAGGUAUCAGAAGUGCGAAUGCUGACAUAAGUAACGAUAAAGCGGGUGAAAAGCCCGCUCGCCGGAAGACCAAGGGUUCCUGUCCAACGUUAAUCGGGGCAGGGUGAGUCGACCCCUAAGGCGAGGCCGAAAGGCGUAGUCGAUGGGAAACAGGUUAAUAUUCCUGU